rnacentral:rRNA from 1 species
UGGGCGAAAGCCUGAUGCAGCAACGCCGCGUGUGCGAAGAAGGCCUUCGGGUCGUAAAGCACUUUUCUGAGAGAUGAGAAAGGACAGUAUCUCAGGAAUAAGUCUCGGCUAACUACGUGCCAGCAGCCGCGGUAAAACGUAGGAGGCGAGCGUUAUCCGGAUUCACUGGGCGUAAAGCGCGUGCAGGCGGUUCGGUAAGUUGGGCGUGAAAUCUCCUGGCUCAACUAGGAGAGGUCGUUCAAUACUACCGGACUUGAGAGCGGUAGAGGAAGAUGGAAUUCCCGGUGUAGUGGUGAAACGCGUAGAUAUCGGGAGGAACACCAGUGGCGAAGGCGAUCUUCUGGACCGUUUCUGACGCUCAGACGCGACAGCUAGGGGAGUGAACGGGAUUAGAAACCCCGGUAAUCCUAGCUGUAAACGAUGUCGACUUGGCGUGGGUGGGGUAAAAGCCAUCCGUGCCGAAGCUAACGCGAUAAGUCGACCGCCUGGGGACUACGGCCGCAAGGUUA